rnacentral:lncRNA from 1 species
UUUUUUUGGGGGAUCUAAUUAAGUUAUUUAAAGUUGGAGUUAAAUAAGAUUAGUCAACACAUAAUCAAACAAUUAGAAGAGUAAACGAGAUAAUGAAAUUGGGCCCCUUCUUGGGCCAAUUUCGCUAUAUUUUUAAGCUUUAAUCUCAUUCCCAUUUUGCGUAUACACUGGAUGUAUAUCAGUGUAUAUGAGCAUAUAUAUUAGCUCUUUUCAUGUAUCUCUUGCUU